GUGGGGAAUAUUGGGCAAUGGGCGAAAGCCUGACCCAGCAACGCCGCGUGAAGGAAGAAGGUUUUCGGAUCGUAAACUUCUAUCCUUGGUGAAGAUAAUGACGGUAGCCAAGAAGGAAGCCCCGGCUAACUACGUGCCAGCAGCCGCGGUAAUACGUAGGGGGCAAGCGUUGUCCGGAAUGAUUGGGCGUAAAGGGCGCGUAGGCGGCCUGGUAAGUCUGGAGUGAAAGUCCUGCUUUUAAGGUGGGAAUUGCUUUGGAUACUGUCGGGCUUGAGUGCAGGAGAGGUAAGUGGAAUUCCCGGUGUAGCGGUGAAAUGCGUAGAGAUCGGGAGGAACACCAGUGGCGAAGGCGGCUUACUGGUCCAUUACUGACGCUGAGGUGCGAAAGCGUGGGGAGCAAACAGGAUUAGAUACCCCUGUAGUCC
rnacentral:rRNA from 1 species